rnacentral:rRNA from 1 species
UACGGGGGAUGCAAGCGUUAUCCGGAAUCAUUGGGCGUAAAGCGCCUGUAGGUUGUUUAUUAAGUCUGUGGUUAAAGACUAGGGCUCAACCCUAGGAAAGCAAUGGAAACUAAUAGACUAGAGUAUGGCAGGGGUAGAGGGAAUUUCUAGUGUAGCGGUGAAAUGCGUAGAUAUUAGAAAGAACACCGGUGGCGAAAGCGCUCUACUGGACCAUUACUGACACUCAGAGGCGAAAGCUAGGGUAGCAAAAGGGAUUAGAUACCCCUGUAGUCCUAGCCGUAAACGAUGAACACUAGGUGUCGGGGGAUCGCCCCGGUGUCGUAGCCAACGCGUUAAGUGUUCCGCCUGGGGAGUACGCACGCAAGUGUG